rnacentral:lncRNA from 1 species
UGAAGAUAAAAUAAAAUUCUGCAAAGAAUCUGAGAGUUUUUAAUGUCCUCUUGGCUUAAAAUGAGUUGGAAUUGUUUGGUGGUAAUUUUUCUUUCUUUUAUCCUUAAACAUAUUAAAGAGAAAAAUGAAAAUAACUUAUUUUGAAUAUCUAAAUGCUCCUUUUACAAAAGGGGACGCUUUAGAACGCUUGUCUAGAAAAAGAAGUGAGCUGAAACAUUGUGCUAAUGGGAUUUGCAGCAUAAAAUAUGGCUAAUUUCUCUUGUAUGACUACAGGUGGCAGUGUAGAAGCCAAGAACAAAAAUUGGCAGAAAUUGUGUUCUGUGUACGAGAAUAUGAAGAGUGUACUCAUGACUAAGCACAGGAACCUGGAAAACCACAGGUCGUGUUGGAUUAAUGCUGUGGAUCAAUCAACCCAGAACCAGUAGUUGCCCAUCAGUCGCUCAGUAGUCAGUGUAGAUUCUGUCUUUACAAUCAGCAGCUACAUCUGGCUACUGGGUCUCUGAUGACAUCUCCUACCUCCUGUCUAGACUUUUUGUUGGAUUUGUGUCUUCUCUCCUGGGUGCAGAGCAAGUUCACAAUGCGAACAAGUGAAUGCCUGAGGUGUGGCCCCAAAUAAAGGAUUGGAUAUCUGUUGGAUCUGCUUCA